rnacentral:rRNA from 1 species
UACAGAGGUCCCAAGCGUUGUUCGGAUUCACUGGGCGUAAAGGGUGCGUAGGCGGUCUGGUAAGUCUGAUGUGAAAUCUCCAAGCUCAACUUGGAAAUGGCAUCGGAUACUAUUCGGCUCGAGGAAUGGAGGGGAGACUGGAAUACUUGGUGUAGCAGUGAAAUGCGUAGAUAUCAAGUGGAACACCAGUGGCGAAGGCGAGUCUCUGGACAUUUCCUGACGCUGAGGCACGAAAGCCAGGGGAGCAAACGGG